GCAUUUACGGACUUGAUGUCCCCGUUGGACAAUCAUCUAGUGUCAUAUCCAAUGGGUCGAAUGCACGCCUGAAGCGUGGCACGCCAUUAGGAUCCAAUGAUUACUAUGUUGGAGAAACACAAUUGAUUACCAAUAAGGUAUUGUGUUGUAGUAAGUCUCAAAGAAACUUAUUUAGUUUCCAAAAGUAUAUGCGAAAGCGAUUGAUUAUAUUGAAACUAUAAAUAAAGGAAAGAUCUGAUAUCUUCCAUUACUACAACUUGUAGCGGAUAAUUUGUAUAUGAAAAGCUACCCGCUCCAUUCUCCAGUUUGUACUACGCAAACAAA
rnacentral:lncRNA from 1 species